rnacentral:rRNA from 1 species
UACAGAGGUCUCAAGCGUUGUUCGGAUUCAUUGGGCGUAAAGGGUGCGUAGGCGGCGCGGUAAGUCGGGUGUGAAAUCUCGGAGCUUAACUCCGAAACUGCAUUCGAUACUGCCGUGCUUGAGGACUGGAGAGGAGACUGGAAUUUACGGUGUAGCGGUGAAAUGCGUAGAUAUCGUAAGGAAGACCAGUGGCGAAAGGCGGGCCUCUGGACCAUUCCUCUG